rnacentral:rRNA from 1 species
GCAAGUCGCACGAGAACGCUUUAGCUUGCUAAAGCUAGUAAAGUGGCGCACGGGUGAGUAACGCGUGGGUAAUCUACCCUUGAAUUUGGGAUAACGUUGCGAAAGCGACGCUAAUACCGGAUAAUAUCUUUUUGAUUUUGGUUAUAAAGAUCAAAGGUGGCCUCUACAUGUAAGCUACUGUUUGGGGAUGAGCCCGCGUACCAUUAGUUAGUUGGUAGGGUAACGGCCUACCAAGGCAGCGAUGGUUAGCUGGUCUGAGAGGAUGAUC